rnacentral:rRNA from 1 species
UCAUGUAAUGAUUUCCUAGUGGUCUUAUGUACAAAAUUACAACAUAACGUUAAUGCGCUCGAGCUAGAGUAGUACUGGGAUGGGUGACCACCUGGGAAGUCCUAGUGUUUUACAUGCU